rnacentral:tRNA from 1 species
GGCCCCAUGGUCAAGUGGUUAAGACGUCACCCUCUCAAGGUGGAGUCACGAGUUCGAUCCUCGUUGGGGCUA